rnacentral:rRNA from 1 species
AUUGAACGCUGGCGGCAUGCCUUACACAUGCAAGUCGAACGGUAACGGGCCUUCGGGUGCCGACGAGUGGCGAACGGGUGAGUAAUGUAUCGGAACGUACCUUUCAGUGGGGGAUAACGUAGCGAAAGUUACGCUAAUACCGCAUAUUCUGUGAGCAGGAAAGCAGGGGAUCGCAAGACCUUGCGCUGAUUGAGCGGCCGAUAUCAGAUUAGCUAGUUGGUGAGGUAAAGGCUCACCAAGGCGACGAUCUGUAGCGGGUCUGAGAGGAUGAUCCGCCACACUGGAACUGAGACACGGUCCAGACUCCUACGGGAGGCAGCAGUGGGGAAUUUUGGACAAUGGGGGCAACCCUGAUCCAGCCAUGCCGCGUGAGUGAAGAAGGCCUUCGGUUGUAAGACUCUUUCGUCCGGAGAAAUCGUAUGGUUAAUACCUGUGCGGAUGACGGUACCGGCAUAAGAAGCACCGGCGUAACUACGUGCCAGCAGCCGCGGUAA